rnacentral:misc_RNA from 1 species
AGUCGGAGCGUAAACACAGCCUACAAAUAUGUCAACGGUGGAGCCCGCCAGCCCCUCCCAGGAGAAAGAGCUCAGUAAGGUGUCUCCGGAGAACCGCUGGGUGGAGAUUCAGAGGAAGACGUUCACUAACUGGAUAAAUGAACAGUUGAGUGUUAGUGGGCGGGUCAUUCAGGACAUCGAGAAGGAUUUCUGUGAUGGAGUUACUUUGGUGGCGCUGGUUGAAUCACUACAGUUCAAGAAGAUCGGGAAGGUCAUCCCCAACCCCACGGGGCGGAUUCAAAUGAUCCAGAAUGUGGCCCUGGCCUGUAAAGCCAUCAUGGAAGACAAUGUCCGACUCGUUAACAUUGGAAAUGAGGACAUUGUCAAUGGGAAUGUGAAGCUGAUAUUGGGGUUGCUAUGGCAUCUUAUCGUCCGCUACCAGAUCUCAUCCCGGAAGACGAAGGUUCCGCCAAAGAAGCUCAUGAUAAACUGGUUCCGGUUAAUACUUCCGGAACUUGAAAUUUCAAACUUUACUUCCGAUUGGAGCACCGGAAUACCGCUACACGCACUCAUCGACCAUCUUCGUCCAGGUACAUCCCCAAACUGGCGAGAGCUCCACGCCAAAAAUGCUGUAGAAAACUGUAGAACUGCAAUACUUCUGGCUAAAGAGCACCUGAACAUUCCACGGGUUAUUAGUCCGGAAGACUUUGCAAGCGAGGCUCUGGACGAGUUGUCGGCCAUGACAUACCUCUCCUAUUUCGUGAGGUCAGAAUCGCCGGGGUAUUACGACACCUUAAACUGGGUUUGCAAGCAACUAAGGACUACCCAAAUCACAAAUCUUACGGUAAGGAAUAGAUUUUUUUUUCAGAAGACAUCGAGGAUUAUCUUUUACUAUAUAAUUAAUUUAAAAUCAAAUGCAAUGCUUAAACCAUCAUUGAAUUUGCUGUUUUAAAAAGGCAUUUUUUUUCUGCAGACGGACUGGAAUGAUGGAUACAACCUGUGUUCUAUUGUAUCAUCAAUGGGAGGGGUGAUCCCGGACUGGCCAAAUAUCGACAGAGAAGAUAAAAUGAAGAAUGUACAGAUGGCGAUUGAUGCCGGGAAGAGAAUGGGCGUGGACCCGAUCCUGAGUGCGUCCGAACUAUCAGACCCCUCCGUCGAUCAUCUGAGUGUCAUGACAUAUCUGAACCGGUUCCGGUACGCCACUCCGGUAAAAUCAGACAACGAGAAACUGAGCAUACAGGGAGACUUUGACAACCAUCUGACUGGAGUUCAGAUCCACUUUAAGCUAGUCAUGGAGGACAAAGACGUACAGAAGGAACUGACCAGUGUCCAGAUAAAAAGCGCCAAGGGCAACCAGCGCUGUGACGUCAGCUGGAAGGACAAGUACGCGGACUGUCGCUUCACCCCUGCGGAUCCGGGCUCUUACACGCUCAACGUUCUGUAUAAUGGUACUCCCUUAGUAGGUUGUCCUGUGACAUUCAGUGUCAAGGCCGAUCUCUCCAAGGUCAAACUUCGAACACAGUCCUCUUCGUGCAUGGUUGGAUCAUCAAAUGACAUUGAAGUUUUGUCAGAGUCUGAAAGCAAUGAAGUAUUAAUCGAAUAUUGCUCACCUAAUGAGGAGGUUAAAUCGCUGACGACACUAUAUGAAAAUGGCGUCUUUUCCGCCACUUUUAGACCAAAGUCAGUCGGUCUGUGGAUCGUCCAUGUGUUCUGUCAGGGGGAGGAGAUCUCCAGUAGUCCCAUUUCAUUUGACGUCUACGAUCCCCAGAAAGCAUGGUUAUCCGGGCCACAGAAAGGGAUUGUGGGAGAGGAAGUUGUCUUCACAGUGAACUACAGCGAAGCCGGGAUAGGUGAUAUCGAGGGUGCAGUGCGGAAUGUCGGAAAGGAAAUUGCCUGCGAGGUCAAUGAAACGGAAUACAAUGGAAUAAAAACUAUAGAGUUUGUUCCUCAAAACUCAGGAAUGUUCUUUGUGUACUGCAAGUUCAACAACACGGAAAUUACAGGGUCUCCCAAAAGUAUUGAUGUGGUAGAUCCGGGCCAAAUUGUUGUGACUGGUGAAGGUUUAACUCGAGGUUUGAGGGGGAAGGAGUGUACAUUCCAGGUUAACAUUGGAGAUCUGGGAGGAAACAUAAGUGUCACUGUUGAAAAUGAAGGUAAAGAAGUGGACACCUCGUGGCGUGAGGCAGGGUCCUCUACAUACAUUUUCUCGUAUGUACCUAGCAAUGCAGGGACCUUCAAGAUAAAUGUCAACUGGGAUGAAAGAGCAGUCCCAGGAAGUCCAUUCUACGCAAAAAUCACGGAUAGAUCACGCGUGACUCUGAUCACGGACCUCACGGAUCUGAUGGACGAGAACGAACACUUGGUCCUUGAUUGUGGAAAGGAAACACAACUUCUUUACGACAUAAGUGCCGCUGGUCCAGGAAGGAUGACAGCUACUGUUCUGUCUCCUCGGGGAAAGCUUAAAGUAGAGACACGAAAACCAAAAAAAGAGGAGAUGGAGAUUGCUUUCACAGCAGUUGAAGAAGGUGACCAUUACAUCCACGUGUAUUGGUCGGAUGUACCUCUGGAUUCUUCGCCCAUACUAGCGUAUUGCCCAGGGCCUCCACUUCCGGUUGAUCACACAAAAGUUGUCAUUGAGGGCAAGGGCAAAGAAAAGGCACGAGCAUUAGUUCCAGCGGAGUUUCUUAUCAAUGGAAGAUUUGCAGGACCUGGAACACCAAGAGUGCUGUUGAAGGGCGUUAAAAAGGAUGUACAUGUAAACAUUACACCUAUGAAGUAUGAUCGAUACAAAUGUACAUACAGUGCCCCAAACCCUGGAGCCUAUGUAUUAUAUGUUUAUUGGUCAGAACAACUUGUUCCUAAAUGUCCCUAUAAGAUCACAGCUUCCAACAAAGGGGCAAGUGGCAAAGUAAAAGUUACUGGUCAAGGUCUGAAGGGCGGUUAUGUAGGUCAAGAACUUCAUCUAGAUGUCGAUACAACUGAAGCUGGUUUCGGUGAAAUCAAGGUCAGCUGUCACGGAGAGCUCCGGGAGGCGAGAUGUGACGUGUUCGACCAACGUAAUGGUAUUUAUAAGGUGCACAUGUAUCCUAGGGAGGCGUGCAGACACCGACUCGAGAUCACGUAUGAUCACGAACACGUGCCAGGCAGUCCAUUUAAAAUCCCGGUAGGGGAACCCCCUGACCCGAGGAAAGUCCGAGUCUAUGGGCCUGGAGUCCAGGACGGACUUAUCCAAACCUUCGAGAGUAAAUUUUUGGUGGAGACUUCCGGCGCAGGCGCUGGACAGUUAGCUGUGAGAAUAAGGGGGCCUCGAAGUGCGUUCAAGGUCAAUAUUCAAAGAGAGGAAGAGAAUGACAGAACUGUUCUGUGUUCAUACAGCCCAGAGGAGCCCGGGAAAUACGUCAUCAAUGUCAAGUGGUCGGGGCGCCACGUCAGAGGAAGUCCAUUCAAUGUACAGCUGUUCGAAUCCCAGGCAGAACUGGACAAUUACCUUGGCAACAAAAAGGGGUUUUUCGUGGAGAAAACAAAAGCAAAUAUGCAAUGGCGAGCCGAAAUUUGAUUUUUGUUUAUUUUACUAUAUUUUUGCAUUUGAAAGUUGUUAAUAGUGAAUGUAUUGAUUUUGUGUUCUACAAGUGUAAUACUUUUAUUGUUUGGAAUUGUUUUGUUGUCAAAGAUGUCAGUUGUUUGUCAUUACAUUUUUUAAAGUUAAAUAAAAAUCAAAAAAGAAA